CCCUAGCCCUGAUGGUUCCGAUAGCUAUCGGAACGACAUCCUUUCCUGCCGGAGUUCAGCAGGAAAGAUAGAGUGUACAGCAGGAAAAGCU
rnacentral:sRNA from 1 species